rnacentral:lncRNA from 1 species
AAUAUGCUAUCAAGAAUUAAUAACAUAUUCAUUAACAUCCUUCAGUGAACCAUUGCGCUGAUUUGAACGCUCUGACUCAUUAGGCCUUUCUUUACAAGGACAAAAUCACGAAAAGGCAAAAUAAAGCAAAGAGCUCACCUUGCAAAAUUAGGAAAUGGAAGCUUUCAAUUGGAAGAAGAAGUUGGCCCUGAGACUAUGGUCCACAUAAAUGGAGGCAAAAGUUCAUGUAAAGAACACAAAUCAAAGCAUGCACCACAUAAAUAGAGAAUCAUCUGAAACUCAAAUCACCGGAAUAAAACAGGAGAUCUUAUUACCCUUUGCUAACUUGGAAAUCUGAAAUCAAAACAUCAAAUCACCAAACAAAGGUGAGUAAGAAAACAGAACUUAAAAAAUAAAAAACAGAAUGAAAUAUGAACACAGAGCAGAAAUUAGCUGCCACGGAACAUUUAUAACCAAGAAGUGACCAGCCCUAUUCAAUACCAUCAUCAUCCUAAUUCCCAAGUCAUACAUUGGCAUGAGGUGGUGCAUUUUUCUAACUAUGAUUGUAUUGCUUUAGACUCUAAAGACAGUAAAUGUUCCAACUUGUCCAAGGCUACAAAAAUAUGUUAAUGAUGGUAAACUUGACUUAAAACAAAUAAGUUCCCUCCAAUAUGAGUUCUCUCUAUCUUGGUUCUAAACGUGGUAAACUUGGUUUAAAACAAAUAAGCUCUCUCUAUCUGCAAUCCUUAGAACACCUAGUAUAAGUAUGCAACAUUUUAUCUUAAUUAAAUUCAGAAAGCUGAAUCUGGCUUUAAGGCAUUUUACAAAUAGGUUUUGGGCACUAAUUAGGAUGGAGAAAAAUACUACAAAGAGUAAACAGAGCAGAAAUUAGCUGUUAUGGAACAUUUAUAACCAAGAGGUGACAAUCGCAACU